GCCCCGCGGGAGAGAGGCGUCAGGCGUCAGGCUCAUGGCCCGCGCUGCUUCCUGAGGUUCUAUUUGCUGCUUUAUCUACGGUUCCCGUCCUGUGACGUCACGGGGAUGGGCUGAUUGUCCUAACAACAAUUGCCAGCGUUUGAUUAAAAACAAUUUUCCAAUUAGGAAUUGGCAGAUGGGAAUACGAUUCAUCCGAGUCCUGGCCUGGCUUUUCAAAUAUCAAAUACACCAAUUGAAGUGAAAAUAUAA